rnacentral:misc_RNA from 1 species
AAGUCGUAACAAGGUUUCCGUAGGUGAACCUGCGGAAGGAUCAUUAGUGAUUGGCCUCUGGCCUCAUCAUAUCCUGACACCUCUGUGCACUGUUGGCCCUCGGGCCCUCACAAAACUUGGUGUAAUGAACGUCAUAAUACAUAACAUAACAAAACUUUCAACAACGGAUCUCUUGGCUCUC